AAUAGCCCGGGAGGAA
rnacentral:rRNA from 1 species